CCAUGUAAACUUAAUGUUCCAUGAACACAGUUUCAUUUUGCAUUUAAUUUCUUAAGGCUUUUUUUUACAGGAAAAAUUGGGUGUGAGAGAAGAAAAAAAUUGGGAAAAACUCACAAGGGAUACGUCAAAGCUUUACAGUUUGCAAAUAAUGUGAUUACAGAUUCUUAAUUCCAUUAUCAAGGACACUUAAGCCCCUCUAUGCAAAACCCCUUCAAGCUCAAUGAACAGAAAAAAGAUGAAAUGUGAAGACAUUUUCUUAGUGAGUUGUGAAAGUCCUGCAGAGGUACCAGCACAACUGAGAAAGAGUACACUGGGAGAAAAUGAGCCACCACACGAUGUGGAGGACAAGGAAAGGCAGGAACGACUCACCAGUGACAGCUUUGGGAGACAUGUCAAUAAGAUUACA
rnacentral:lncRNA from 1 species